rnacentral:rRNA from 1 species
CCUACGGGAGGCAGCAGUCGGGAAUUUUGGGCAAUGGGCGCAAGCCUGACCCAGCAACGCCGCGUGAGGGAUGAAGGCCUUCGGGUCGUAAACCUCUGUCGGGAGGGACGAACGGUACCAGGGCGAACAGUCCUGGGAUCUGACGGUACCUCCAAAGGAAGCGCCGGCUAACUCCGUGCCAGCAGCCGCGGUAAUACGGAGGGCGCAAGCGUUGUUCGGAAUCAUUGGGCGUAAAGCGCGUGUAGGCGGCUUGGCAAGUCGGGUGUGAAAGCCCGGGGCUCAACCCCGGAACUGCACUCGAAACUGCCUCGCUCGAGUCCCGGAGGGGAGGGCGGAAUUCCCGGUGUAGAGGUGAAAUUCGUAGAUAUCGGGAGGAACACCAGCGGCGAAGGCGGCCCUCUGGACGGUGACUGACGCUGAGACGCGAAAGCGUGGGGAGCAAACAGGAUUAGAUACCCUGGUAGUCCACGCCGUAAACGUUGGGUGCUAGGUGUCGCGGGUAUUGACCCCUGCGGUGCCGUCGUUAACGCAUUUAGCACCCCGCCUGGGGAGUACGGUCGCAAGGCUAAAACUCAAAUGAAUUGACGG